rnacentral:rRNA from 1 species
UACAGAGGUCCCAAGCGUUGUUCGGAUUCACUGGGCGUAAAGGGUGCGUAGGCGGUCGGGUAAGUCUGACGUGAAAGCCCGCAGCUUAACUGCGGAACGGCGUCGGAUACUAUUCGGCUUGAGGGUGGGAAGGGGGACUGGAAUUCUCGGUGUAGCAGUGAAAUGCGUAGAUAUCGAGAGGAACACCAGUGGCGAAGGCGAGUCCCUGGACCACUCCUGACGCUGAGGCACGAAAGCUAGGGGAGCAAAC